rnacentral:lncRNA from 1 species
GACCUGGCCUUUCUCUGCAGCUCCUCUUGGGAAGGCAUUUUCUUCUUUCUGCAAACCGUGCUGCUGUUUGUUUGGAGAAGGAGAGCUGUGGCCAAAAACAAUCCAUUGAUACACUUGGUGACAUUAAUUGAGAAAAAAACAAUACGGUCUGGCCAUGGAGGCAUGAUAUCCGUAACAUCCCCCAAAGGAGCUAAAGAAGAAAUCCACAAUUUACCAUGAGCAUUUCUCGUCUAAUGAUUGCCAAGCGAUUCCUCCAGGACAUUCCUCAAGGACUCAUGUUCUUAGGCAAAUGCUUUGGGGAAUGUGGCAGUGAUGCAUGUGCGGGGGAAACACAGAGGCAAGCAUGGAUGAAAAUCACUGUGGAAUAUUGAAGAAGGCUUCCAAGAGGAGGUGACAUUUGAGCUUGAUCGUGAACACGAAGUAAGGACAGAACUAGGAGCUCAACUAGAGGAAGAGGCAAAUGGUAUACUAGUGUAGACUGUGUUAAUGUGUAGACAACUGAAAGAAGUGGCAUAUUUGGGAAGCUUUAGGAUGUCCAUGGUGAAAAGUAUCUACGAACAAGAGGUGAGAGAGAUGGAGGGAAGAGGGGCAGAGGAUGAAAUUUCAUCAACAUUGCAUUGUAUUUCUUCCAUUUGUCCUUUCAGAUCAAUUUCUGUUCAUCCACCUUGUCCUGGGAGGGACAUCAAUGGGUUUCCAUGUCCUUUGGCUUCUGGUUGAGUUCACUCAGUGGAGAACCCUGGCAAGAGGCAGGAAAAGGGGAGGAAGGUAAAAAUGGUGCUACCCUUGGAAAUCCAAGAGCAGCUUCAAGAGUCAACUAUACCAGCAAUCCCUAAAGCUGGAGAAUUUAUGCCCAUGGAAAAGUCUGUAGCGUUUUGCAAACCUUGAGGCUGAGGAAUAGACC